rnacentral:rRNA from 1 species
UACGUAGGGUGCGAGCGUUGUCCGGAAUUAUUGGGCGUAAAGAGCUCGUAGGCGGUGUGUCACGUCGUUCGUGAAAACCUGCAGCUUAACUGUGGGCGUGCGGUCGAUACGGGCAUCACUGGAGUUCGGCAGGGGAGACUGGAAUUCCUGGUGUAGCGGUGAAAUGCGCAGAUAUCAGGAGGAACACCGGUGGCGAAGGCGGGGCUCUGGGCCGAUACUGACGCUGAGGAGCGAAAGCGUGGGGAGCAAACAGG